rnacentral:rRNA from 1 species
UACGUAGGGUGCAAGCGUUGUCCGGAAUUAUUGGGCGUAAAGAGCUCGUAGGCGGUCUGUCGCGUCGGCUGUGAAAACUCGGGGCUCAACUCCGAGCUUGCAGUCGAUACGGGCAGGCUAGAGUUCGGCAGGGGAGACUGGAAUUCCUGGUGUAGCGGUGGAAUGCGUAGAGAUCCGGAAGAACACCGGUGGCGAAGGCGGCCUGCUGGGCAGUUUUGCUGACACUGAGGCGCGACAGCGUGGGGAGCAAACAGG